rnacentral:rRNA from 1 species
AUGCUGGAGGUAUCAGAAGUGCGAAUGCUGACAUAAGUAACGAUAAAGCGGGUGAAAAGCCCGCUCGCCGGAAGACCAAGGGUUCCUGUCCAACGUUAAUCGGGGCAGGGUGAGUCGACCCCUAAGGCGAGGCCGAAAGGCGUAGUCGAUGGGAAACAGGUUAAUAUUCCUGUACUUGGUGUUACUGCGAAGGGGGGACGGAGAAGGCUAUGUUGGCCGGGCGACGGUUGUCCCGGUUUAAGCGUGUAGGCUGGUUUUCCAGGCAAAUCCGGAAAAUCAAGGUUGAGGCGUGAUGACGAGGCACUACGGUGCUGAAGCAACAAAUGCCCUGCUUCCAGGAAAAGCCUCUAAGCAUCAGGUAACAUCAAAUCGUACCCCAAACCGACACAGGUGGUCAGGUAGAGAAUACCAAGGCGCUUGAGAGAACUCGGGUGAAGGAACUAGGCAAAAUGGUGCCGUAACUUCGGGAGAAGGCACGCUGAUAUGUAGGUGAAGUCCCUCGCGGAUGGAGCUGAAAUCAGUCGAAGAUACCAGCUGGCUGCAACUGUUUAUUAAAAACACAGCACUGUGCAAACACGAAAGUGGACGUAUACGGUGUGACGCCUGCCCGGUGCCGGAAGGUUAAUUGAUGGGGUUAGCGCAAGCGAAGCUCUUGAUCGAAGCCCCGGUAAACGGCGGCCGUAACUAUAACGGUCCUAAGGUAGCGAAAUUCCUUGUCGGGUAAGUUCCGACCUGCACGAAUGGCGUAAUGAUGGCCAGGCUGUCUCCACCCGAGACUCAGUGAAAUUGAACUCGCUGUGAAGAUGCAGUGUACCCGCGGCAAGACGGAAAGACCCCGUGAACCUUUACUAUAGCUUGACACUGAACAUUGAGCCUUGAUGUGUAGGAUAGGUGGGAGGCUUUGAAGUGUGGACGCCAGUCUGCAUGGAGCCGACCUUGAAAUACCACCCUUUAAUGUUUGAUGUUCUAACGUUGGCCCCUGAUCGGGGUUGCGGACAGUGUCUGGUGGGUAGUUUGACUGGGGCGGUCUCCUCCUAAAGAGUAACGGAGGAGCACGAAGGUUGGCUAAUCCUGGUCGGACAUCAGGAGGUUAGUGCAAUGGCAUAAGCCAGCUUGACUGCGAGCGUGACGGCGCGAGCAGGUGCGAAAGCAGGUCAUAGUGAUCCGGUGGUUCUGAAUGGAAGGGCCAUCGCUCAACGGAUAAAAGGUACUCCGGGGAUAACAGGCUGAUACCGCCCAAGAGUUCAUAUCGACGGCGGUGUUUGGCACCUCGAUGUCGGCUCAUCACAUCCUGGGGCUGAAGUAGGUCCCAAGGGUAUGGCUGUUCGCCAUUUAAAGUGGUACGCGAGCUGGGUUUAGAACGUCGUGAGACAGUUCGGUCCCUAUCUGCCGUGGGCGCUGGAGAACUGAGGGGGGCUGCUCCUAGUACGAGAGGACCGGAGUGGACGCAUCACUGGUGUUCGGGUUGUCAUGCCAAUGGCACUGCCCGGUAGCUAAAUGCGGAAGAGAUAAGUGCUGAAAGCAUCUAAGCACGAAACUUGCCCCGAGAUGAGUUCUCCCUGACUCCUUGAGAGUCCUGAAGGAACGUUGAAGACGACGACGUUGAUAGGCCGGGUGUGUAAGCGCAGCGAUGCGUUGAGCUAACCGGUACUAAUGAACCGUGAGGCUUAACCUU